rnacentral:lncRNA from 1 species
CUUGGUUUAGGAACAACCCUAAUAAAAUACUCCAUUCUCAUAAAAAUAGCAUCAACUUCACCGCUGUUUUCUGAUUUGAAUGAUCUUCUCUUCACAGUAGAAUCUGUGGAUAAAUGCUAGAGGCAGUCCUCAGCACUAGUGCAUGUCUUGGCUGUGUCUAGCUCUGCGUUGGAGGAGGAUUUGGGUGGCACCAUUCUUCCAUGUUCCACAGGCAGCAAAUGCAGGCAGAAAUUGUAUUCACCCAUCUGUGUCACAACUCUCAAGAGCAAGGAUCAAAAAUCUUCCACUUCCAGGAGAGCACCGGGAGAUGGUGGAAGUAGUGAAUGCUCUGUUCACAGUUUUGUUCCUGCACUUGUGGUGUCAUUGCCAUCUAGAGCUUUAA